ensembl:misc_RNA 7SK 7SK RNA
GGAUGUGAGGGCAAUCUGGCUGCGACAUCUGUCACCCAUUGAUCGCCAGGGUUGAUCCUGCUGAUCUGGCUGGCUAGGCGGGUGUCCCCUUCCUCCCUCCCCACUCCAUGUGCGUCCCCCCUGAAGCUGUGCACUUGGUCGAAAAGGAUGAUUUUCCUUGAUAGAGGAGGACCUUUCUUUGGUCAAGGGUAUACGAGUAGCUGUGCUCCUCUGCUAGAACCUCCAAACAACCUUUCAAGAAAUUCCACAAGUGUAUAGUUUGAUGGACUUUUGCCAAUAUAUACAUCUCUAUAACCACUACACACAUCAUUGCCAGCACCCAGAAAGCACUGUCUUGACCUUGCUGGUCAG